rnacentral:rRNA from 1 species
AACGAACGCUGGCGGCAUGCUUAACACAUGCAAGUCGAACGAGACCUUCGGGUCUAGUGGCGCACGGGUGCGUAACGCGUGGGAAUCUGCCCUUUGCUACGGAAUAACUCAGAGAAAUUUGUGCUAAUACCGUAUAAUGUCGAAAGACCAAAGAUUUAUCGGCAAAGGAUGAGCCCGCGUAGGAUUAGCUAGUUGGUGAGGUAAAGGCUCACCAAGGCGACGAUCCUUAGCUGGUCUGAGAGGAUGAUCAGCCACACUGGGACUGGGACACGGCCCAGACUCCUACGGGAGGCAGCAGUGGGGAAUAUUGGACAAUGGGCGAAAGCCUGAUCCAGCAAUGCCGCGUGAGUGAUGAAGGCCUUAGGGUUGUAAAGCUCUUUUACCAGGGAUGAUAAUGACAGUACCUGGAGAAUAAGCUCCGGCUGACUCCGUGCCAGCAGCCGCCGUAACAC